rnacentral:rRNA from 1 species
AUUGAACGCUGGCGGCAUGCCUUACACAUGCAAGUCGAACGGUAACGGGCCUUCGGGUGCCGACGAGUGGCGAACGGGUGAGUAAUACAUCGGAACGCGCCCGAUCGUGGGGGAUAACGAGGCGAAAGCUUUGCUAAUACCGCAUACGAUCUACGGAUGAAAGCAGGGGACCGCAAGGCCUUGCGCGGACGGAGCGGCCGAUGGCAGAUUAGGUAGUUGGUGGGAUAAAAGCUUACCAAGCCGACGAUCUGUAGCUGGUCUGAGAGGAUGAUCAGCCACACUGGGACUGAGACACGGCCCAGACUCCUACGGGAGGCAGCAGUGGGGAAUUUUGGACAAUGGGCGCAGGCCUGAUCCAGCCAUGCCGCGUGCAGGAUGAAGGCCUUCGGGUUGUAAACUGCUUUUGUACGGAACGAAAAGCCUUCUUUUAAUACAGGAGGGUCAUGACGGUACCGUAAGAAUAAGCACCGGCUAACUACGUG